rnacentral:rRNA from 1 species
GGCGCUUUCGGGUGUCGCUGAUGGAUGGACCCGCGGUGCAUUAGCUAGUUGGUGAGGUAACGGCUCACCAAGGCGACGAUGCAUAGCCGACCUGAGAGGGUGAUCGGCCACAUUGGGACUGAGACACGGCCCAAACUCCUACGGGAGGCAGCAGUAGGGAAUCUUCGGCAAUGGACGAAAGUCUGACCGAGCAACGCCGCGUGAGUGAAGAAGGUUUUCGGAUCGUAAAACUCUGUUGUUAGAGAAGAACAAGGAUGAGAGUAACUGUUCAUCCCUUGACGGUAUCUAACCAGAAAGCCACGGCUAACUACGUGCCAGCAGCCGCGGUAAUACGUAGGUGGCAAGCGUUGUCCGGAUUUAUUGGGCGUAAAGCGAGCGCAGGCGGUUUCUUAAGUCUGAUGUGAAAGCCCCCGGCUCAACCGGGGAGGGUCAUUGGAAACUGGGAGACUUGAGUGCAGAAGAGGAGAGUGGAAUUCCAUGUGUAGCGGUGAAAUGCGUAGAUAUAUGGAGGAACACCAGUGGCGAAGGCGGCUCUCUGGUCUGUAACUGACGCUGAGGCUCGAAAGCGUGGGGAGCAAACAGGAUUAGAUACCCUGGUAGUCCACGCCGUAAACGAUGAGUGCUAAGUGUUGGAGGGUUUCCGCCCUU